rnacentral:pre_miRNA from 1 species
AGUGGAAUUGCUGGGCUGAAACUACAGACUAUCUAAUCAUUUAAGGAACUGCCAGAUUAUUUUCCAAAGUGGUUGUACCAUUUUACAUUUCCAUCAGCAAU